rnacentral:tRNA from 1 species
CUUAAGUAGCUUAUAUUUAGAGCAUAAUAUUGAAGAUAUUAAGGAAAUUUAAAAUUCUUGAGUAU